GACGAACGCUGGCGGCGUGCUUAACACAUGCAAGUCGAGCGGUAAGGCCCUUUUGGGGGUACACGAGCGGCGAACGGGUGAGUAACACAUGGGUGACCUGCCCUCAGCUCUGGGAUAAGCCUGGGAAACUGGGUCUAAUACUGGAUAUGACCUUUCCUCGCAUGGGGGUUGGGUGGAAAGUUUUUUCGGCUGGGGAUGGGCCCGCGGCCUAUCAGCUUGUUGGUGGGGUGAUGGCCUACCAAGGCGACGACGGGUAGCCGGCCUGAGAGGGCGACCGGCCACACUGGGACUGAGACACGGCCCAGACUCCUACGGGAGGCAGCAGUGGGGAAUAUUGCGCAAUGGGCGGAAGCCUGACGCAGCGACGCCGCGUGGGGAUGACGGCCU
rnacentral:rRNA from 1 species